rnacentral:rRNA from 1 species
GACAGAAGGUGCGAGCGUUAUUCAUAGUUACUGGGCGUAAAGGGUAUGUAGGUGGAGCAGCAAAUUUUGCUAUAAAUCCUGGAGUCGUAACUUCAGAACCGGGCUUUUAGAUUACUGCUCUUUGAGUUAAUAACGGGUCGGAGGAACUUCUAGCGAAAAGGUAGAAUUUCUCAAUUCUAGAAGGAACACCAAAGGCAAAGGCAUCCCUCUAGUGUUAACUGACGCUGAGGUACGGAAGCAUAGGGAUCAAACAGGAUUGAGAAACCCCAGUAGGU